rnacentral:rRNA from 1 species
CCCUUAGAUGUCCUGGGCCGCACGCGCGCUACACUGAUGCAUGCAACGAGUUUCAUUUCUCCUGGGUCGAGAGGCCCGGGUAAUCUGUUGAACGUGCAUCGUGAUAGGGAUAGAUCAUUGCAAUUAUUGAUCUUGAACGAGGAAUUCCUAGUAAACGCGAGUCAUCAGCUCGCAUUGAUUACGUCCCUGCCCUUUGUACACACCGCCCGUCGCACCUACCGAUUGAAUGCUCAGGUGAGCCAUUCGGACUUUCAUCAUGCUGGUUUCCAGUUUUGAUGAAGGAAAGUCUUGCGAACCUUAUCAUUUAGAGGAAGGAGAAGUCGUAACA